CUAGAGGAGCCUGUUCUAUAACCGAUAAACCUCACCAGUUCUUGCUAAUACAGUCUAUAUACCGCCAUCUUCAGCAAACCCUAAAAAGGAAAAAAAGUAAGCGCAAUCAUAAUACAUAAAAACGUUAGGUCAAGGUG
rnacentral:rRNA from 1 species